rnacentral:rRNA from 1 species
UGGGGAAUAUUGCACAAUGGGCGCAAGCCUGAUGCAGCCAUGCCGCGUGUAUGAAGAAGGCCUUCGGGUUGUAAAGUACUUUCAGUCGGGAGGAAGGUGGUAAGGUUAAUAACCUUGGCAAUUGACGUUACCGACAGAAGAAGCACCGGCUAACUCCGUGCCAGCAGCCGCGGUAAUACGGAGGGUGCAAGCGUUAAUCGGAAUUACUGGGCGUAAAGCGCACGCAGGCGGUCUGUCAAGUCGGAUGUGAAAUCCCCGGGCUCAACCUGGGAUCUGCAUUCGAAACUGGCAGGCUAGAGUCUUGUAGAGGGGGGUAGAAUUCCAGGUGUAGCGGUGAAAUGCGUAGAGAUCUGGAGGAAUACCGGUGGCGAAGGCGGCCCCCUGGACAAAGACUGACGCUCAGGUGCGAAAGCGUGGGGAGCAAACAGG